rnacentral:rRNA from 1 species
GAUGAACGCUGACAGAAUGCUUAACACAUGCAAGUCUUUGGCGAAGCUGUGCUUGCACAGCCUAGCCAAGGCGGACGGGUGAGUAACGCGUAAGGAACUUGCCCUGCAGUCAGGGAUAACAGACGGAAACGACUGAUAAGACCUGGUAAAGUCAGGCGGACUCAUGUCCAGCCUGAUGAAAAGAGAUGCUGCAGGAGAGCCUUGCGUCCUAUUAGCUUGUUGGUGGGGUAACGGCCCACCAAGGCGAUGAUAGGUAGCCGGCCUGAGAGGGUGGACGGCCACAAGGGGACUGAGAUACGGCCCUUACUCCUACGGGAGGCAGCAGUGGGGAAUAUUGGACAAUGGGGGCAACCCUGAUCCAGCAAUUCUGUGUGCACGAUGAAGGUUUUCGGAUUGUAAAGUGCUUUCAGCAGGGAAGAAAAAAAUGACGGUACCUUCAGAAGAAGCGACGGCUAAAUACGUG